GGAUGGCGGUACUGCACCCUGACACACACUUACACACUCUGGCUACUGCACAUGCGCAGAUCUCAUAAAUGAAUCCGACUUUAAUCAACUUAAUUAAGAUCUAUCAUCAAAUUAAUCGAAUUUUCGGAGGCCGGGGUGGAGUGCAUGAGCCGCGGUCAGACAGUCACCAAUCACCGUGCGGCUAAAUGGAUCGACGGAGGAUAAAACCAUUAAAAGAUGCGGAGAAACACAUCACCAGCUCCACCGACAAGACCCAUUCACUGGAAACCGAAUAUAUAGAAGGUUACUAAGUUUUGCAGCAUUGAUGCCGAUCAUGAGGACGAGACCCUCGGCCGGCUGGUGAAUGAUGACCAUCUGCACCCUAACUGCACUGUCAAUAAGAUCGUUGUUCAGAGAAAACCUCAUUUGUGCCUUUUUGCAAUCAGGGAUACUUUCUUUGGAGAGGAAAUAACGUUUGACUAUGGCGCAUGUGAUUGGCCUUGGAGAAAGCUUUCAUUGAAGGAUGCCCAUAUGACUGCAGAAGAGAACUGCUUCGACAACUCUCUGAUGAGCUUUUAUUGAAGUAUGACCAAAUGACGAGAAGAAGAGAACUGCUCUGCUCCAGUAGGAGACCCACAACCCUCUGAUGAGCUUAUAUUGAAAGUUGACCAUAUGACAGAGGAAGAGAACUGCUCUGCUCCAGUACGUGACCCACAAAUCUCUGAUGAGAGAAAGUUACAGUGGAUCUUGAUUUUGGAGGAGGUGAAGUCCAAUCUAAAAGAGUCCCCUCAAGUAUCAUCACCAUGGUACAGUGUCUGUGAAGAUAGUGAAGCAGACCCAGCAUUCACAAAAAAGAGAGGUCCCAUAAAGAGAAGAUCCUGGAGCAAACAGGAAGUACAUGCUGUGGUGAAAGCUGAACCAUUGGCUCUAAAAACCAGAGAUUGGUCAGCUUUGGAUUUUUAUAUUAAAAACUGAAUCUCGGCUCUGAAUAACACUUUCAUAGUAACUGCACACUAUACAUCAUUAGUUUAGCACUAACUCUACAGUAAUAGACUUUAGGAAGCAGUUUAUAAAUACAGCUUCAAACGCUGUAUUCUUGACUUGACUAAAUUGUAUUUUCAUGCUUUGU
rnacentral:lncRNA from 1 species